rnacentral:rRNA from 1 species
AUUGAACGCUGGCGGCAUGCCUUACACAUGCAAGUCGAACGGCAGCAUGGAGAGCUUGCUCUCUGAUGGCGAGUGGCGGACGGGUGAGUAAAGCAUCGGAACGUACCGUGUAGUGGGGGAUAACGUAGCGAAAGUUACGCUAAUACCGCAUACGCACUGAGGUGGAAAGCAGGGGAUCGUAAGACCUUGCGCUAUACGAGCGGCCGAUGUCAGAUUAGCUAGUUGGUAGGGUAGAGGCCUACCAAGGCGACGAUCUGUAGCGGGUCUGAGAGGAUGAUCCGCCACACAGGGACUGAGACACGGCCCAGACUCCUACGGGAGGCAGCAGUGGGGAAUUUUGGACAAUGGGGGCAACCCUGAUCCAGCCAUGCCGCGUGAGUGAAAAAGGCCGUCGGGUUGUAAAGCUCUUUCGGCCGGGAAGAAAUCGCACAGGCUAAUACCCUGUGUGGAUGACGGUACCGGCAUAAGAAGCACCGGCUAACUACGUGCCAGCCGCCGCCGUAA